UACGGGGGGGGCAAGCGUUGUUCGGAAUUACUGGGCGUAAAGGGCUCGUAGGCGGCCAACUAAGUCAGACGUGAAAUCCCUCGGCUUAACCGGGGAACUGCAUCUGAUACUGGAUGGCUUGAGUUCGGGAGAGGGAUGCGGAAUUCCAGGUGUAGCGGUGAAAUGCGUAGAUAUCAGGAGGAACACCGGUGGCGAAGGCGGUUCUCUGGGCAUGAUCUGACGCUGAGGAGCGAAAGUGUGGGGAGCGAACAGG
rnacentral:rRNA from 1 species